rnacentral:rRNA from 1 species
AGCAGCCGCGGUAAUUCCAGCUCCAAUAGCGUAUAUUAAAGUUGUUGCAGUUAAAAAGCUCGUAGUUGAAUUUCGGGACUAAUAUGUCGGUCGUACUUUGUACGUACUAGCAUUAUUGGUUUCUCCCUUCUGACGAACCACGAUGUCAUUAAUUUGGUGUCAUGGGAAAUCAGGACUGUUACUUUGAAAAAAUUAGAGUGUUUAAAGCAAGCUCGCGCUUGAAUACAUUAGCAUGGAAUAAUGAAAUAGGACGUUUGAUUCUAUUUUGUUGGUUUCUAGGAUCGACGUAAUGAUUAAUAGGGAUAGUUGGGGGCAUUAGUAUUCAAUUGUCAGAGGUGAAAUUCUUGGAUUUAUUGAAGACUAACUACUGCGAAAGCAUUUGCCAAGGACGUUUUCAUUAAUCUAAGAACGAAAGUUAGGGGAUCGAAGACGAUCAGAUACCGUCGUAGUCUUAACCAUAAACUAUGCCGACUAGGGAUCGGAUGAUGUUAAUUUUUAAUGACUCAUUCGGCGCCUUAAC